GUCUGGGGGGAGCUGCCGCCCGUGGGGGACCCGUGCUGGAGCAGUUUGCUCCUGGGGGACGGACCCCAUGGUACGGAGCCAUGUGGGAGCAGUUCUUGAAGAGUUGCUGCCUGUGGGCAGCAGUCCUGCUCAGUUCUGGAAGGAUGGCAUCUCAUGGGAGGGACCCCACGUGGAGCUGGGGCAGAGAGUGACCGUGAAGGAGCGGUGGAGACAAAGCAUCAGGGACUUGGUUCAUGGAAGAAGACUAUAACUCAACACAAAUAAGUUAUAAAAGGUUUGCAGUCCAAGGCAGUCGCGUGCUGUUGCGGAGAGUGGAUCGCGGCGGGCAGGCGAUUUUCCGCAUCGAGGCCGCUGGAGGCAGUCAAGGGAGCCGCAAGGACCCAGCAAGUUGACUCCACGCCUCAAGACUUCCUCCAACAAGAAGGAAAGAAGGGUAAUGGUUGUAGGCGACUCCCUUCUGAAGGGAACAGAGGGCCCCAUAUGUCAGCUCGACCCUACCCGUAGGGAAGUCUGCAGCCUACCUGGGGCUCGGGUCAAGGACAUUACCAGGAAACUUCCUGACCUCGUUAGCCCCCCUCCGAUUAUUACCCAUUAGUGAGAAUUCAGGGUGGCAGUGAUGAAAUUGCUGAGAGAAGCCUGGAGACUAUCAAAANNNNNNNNNNNNNNNNNNNNAGGCGAUUUUCCGCAUCGAGGCCGCUGGAGGCAGUCAAGGGAGCCGCAAGGACCCAGCAAGUUGACUCCACGCCUCAAGACUUCCUCCAACAAGAAGGAAAGAAGGGAUGCUCCUGGUCAGUAAGAGAGACGAGCAGAAGGAAUCAGAGGGAACAGUCACAUGGGCAUGGGAGAGGAGAAGCAAAGUCCGUAAGGGAGAAGGGAACAGACAAAGACCCACACUACAUGACAUGGUUUAUUAAAUGCCAAGGCGGGCGACAGAACUUGGAAUUAAAGGCAGGCUGUUAUCUGCACAGAACCGCUGCGUUCUUGCCAGCGUGGUGGGGGCAAUGGCUGCUUUUGCUCACGGCCUGGAAACUGCCCAAAUUAGGGGGCAGAAGGCAAGUGUUGGCAGUCAUCUUCCAUCUUGGUAGAACUAUGGCUUGUUUUCUGGACUGGGACUUUGUCUGCUCCACCUUCAUCUGAUCAGUAAUGAUAUCCAGCUGUGAAAACAGGGAAACACACAAUAAGAAGAAAAUGCACAAGGCAGGAACACCUUUUCACCUCCAAUUACCAGUAUUCCAGAAGUUAGUGAAGGAAAUACCACAGGCUACACACAGAACGUUGUGAGGGAACCUGCAAAUGACUCUUGCUCAUCAGUGUUAGACUUAGUCCUCUGCAGCCCUCUUCAUCCUCAAGUGUCCCUACUCUCUAAGCAUUCAAACUGGGCAUUCUUUGGAACACUACUCCUAAAAUACAGCUUCCGCAUUCACCUUGAAAACGUUGAAAAGGAUCUGCCUUUGAAAAGGCAAACAUCUUCUUGCUGCAACCAGGCCCUAACGCAGCCUUCAGUGCGGCAUGUCUUUGUCUGGUGCCUGUUCUCCUAUUACCAUUUGUACGGUUAUUUUGUCUAUUCUCCCUUUCUUUCCCUUCACUCUUUCCCUUACGGCUUUGCAGAAGAAGA
rnacentral:lncRNA from 1 species